UGCAUCGAUGAAGAACGCAGCGAAAUGCGAUAAGUAAUGCGAAUUGCAGAAUUUCCGUGAGUCAUCGAAUCUUUGAACGCACAUUGCGCCCUUUGGCAUUCCGAAGGGCAUGCCUGUUCGAGCGUCAUUAUCACCCCUCAAGCCUGGCUUGAUGUUGGAUCUAGGUCUGGGAUACCCCCCACGACCGGUCCCAAAGACAAUGACGGCGUCCCCUGGACCCUUGGUGCAACGAGCUUCUUAACCGAGCACGCAUCGAGUUUCAAGGUCCCGGGGCACGGUCCUCACCUUUUUAUUAUUUACAAGGUUGACCUCGGAUCAGGUAGGGAUACCCGCUGAACUUAAGCAUAUCAAUAAGCGGAGGAA
rnacentral:rRNA from 1 species